rnacentral:rRNA from 1 species
UGUUUACAUUACGAGGUCUAGCCUGCCCAGUGACAUAGUUAAACGGCCGCGGUAUCCUGACCGUGCGAAGGUAGCAUAAUCACUUGUUCUUUAAAUAAGGACUAGUAUCAACGGCAUCACGAGGGUUAUACUGUCUCCUCCCUCCAAUCAGUGAAACUAAUUUCCCCGUGAAGAAGCGGGGAUAAGAAUAUAAGACGAGAAGACCCCAUGGAGCUUUAAACCCAACAGCAACCUAUAUAUACAAAUUCCCUAAUAUCUAAAAAGUCCUGCCUGUUGGUUUUAGGUUGGGGUGACCGCGGAGUAAAACUAAGCCUCCACGACGAACAGGAUUAACCCCCUAAUCCAAGAGCCACCGCUCUAAGAAUCAAUAAAUUGACGUAAAGUGAUCCGAUAAUCGAUCAACGAACUAAGUUACCCUGGGGAUAACAGCGCAAUCCAUUUCAAGAGCCCCUAUCGACAAAUGGGUUUACGACCUCGAUGUUGGAUCAGGGUAUCCCAGUGGUGCAGCCGCUACUAAAGGUUUGUUUGUUCAACAAUUAAAACCCUACGUGAUCUGAGAAA